CUCGUAGCUCAGUGGUUAGAGCAGGGGACUCAUAAUCCCUUGGUCGGGGGUUCAAAUCCCUCCGGGCC
rnacentral:tRNA from 1 species